UCAUCUCAGCUGGUGAAUGCUGCCUGGUU
rnacentral:piRNA from 1 species